UACGGAGGGUGCAAGCGUUGUUCGGAAUUACUGGGCGUAAAGGGCGCGUAGGCGGUGUGUCAAGUCAGGCGUGAAAGCCCCGGGCUCAACCUGGGAACCGCGCUUGAGACUGGCACGCUCGAGUUCGGGAGAGGAUGGUGGAAUUCCCAGUGUAGAGGUGAAAUUCGUAGAUAUUGGGAAGAACACCGAUGGCGAAGGCAGCCAUCUGGACCGACACUGACGCUGAGGCGCGAAAGCGUGGGGAGCAAACAGG
rnacentral:rRNA from 1 species